rnacentral:tRNA from 1 species
GCGGAAGUAGCUCAGUUGGUAGAGCAUUAGCCCUCCAAGCUAAGGGUCGCGAGUUCGAGCCUCGUUUUCCGCUCCA